GAUGAAGAACGUAGCGAAAUGCGAUACGUAAUGUGAAUUGCAGAAUUCAGUGAAUCAUCGAAUCUUUGAACGCACAUUGCACUUUCUGGUAUUCCGGAGAGUAUGCUUGUUUGAGUAUCAGUAAACACCUCAAAUCUCUUGUUUCUUGUGAAUAAGAGAAUUGGACUUGAGCAAUCCCAACUCUUGCAAAAGAGGCGGGUUGCUUGAAAUGCAGGUGCAGCUGGACAUUCUUCUGAGCUAAAAGCAUAUUUAUUUAGUCCCGUAAAACGGAUUAUUACUUUUGCUGCAGCUAACAUAAAGGUUGAAUGGCCAAUAUGGCUGACUGAUGCAGGAUUAACAGAGAAUUUAUUCUUUGUAAACUCGAUCUCAAAUCAAGUAAGACUACCCGCUGAACUUAAGCAUAUCAAUAAGCGGAGGA
rnacentral:misc_RNA from 1 species